rnacentral:rRNA from 1 species
GGAGGUAGUGACAAUAAAUCACAAUGCGGGACUAUUUAGUUUUGCAAUUGGAUUGAGAACAAUGUACAAGAGUUAUCGAUAAACAAUUGGAGGGCAAGUCUGGUGCCAGCAGCCGCGGUAAUUCCAGCUCCAAUAGCGUAUAUUAACGUUGUUGUAGUUAAAAAGCUCGUAGUUGAAGUGUGGGGUGAAAGGUUUGUCUUUUGUUUUAAAAGAUGUUCUGCUCACCCCCUCUCCAAUGUGUUGUUAUGGGUAUUAAUUUACUUGUAAUAGCUAUUGAUCAUUUACUGUGAGAAAAUUAGAGUGUUCAAAGCAGGCAUUUGCUUGAAUAUAUUAGCAUGGAAUAAUAAUAAAAGGCUUUUAUGGUCGAUUUAAUUGGUUUGUUCAUGAAAGCAAGAUUAAAAGGGACAGUUGGGGGUAUUCAUAUUCAAUAGUUAGAGGUGAAAUUCUCGGAUUUAUGGAAGAUGAACAAGUGCGAAAGCA